rnacentral:rRNA from 1 species
AGAGUUUGACCAUGGCUCAGAAUCAACGCUGGCGGCGCGCUUAACACAUGCAAGUCGAACGAGAAAGGGGAGCAAUCCCUGAGUAAAGUGGCGUACGGGUGAGUAACACGUGGGUAAUCUACCUUUUGGUGGGGGAUAACGCUGGGAAACCGGCGCUAACACCGCAUGAGCUCGCCAUCGAUAGAUGGUGAGGAAAAGAGAAAUCUGCCGAAAGAGGAGCCCGCGGCUGAUUAGCUAGUUGGUGAGGUAAAGGCUCACCAAGGCAAUGAUCGGUAGCCGGCCUGAGAGGGCGCACGGCCACACUGGCACUGAAACACGGGCCAGACUCCUACGGGAGGCAGCAGUGGGGAAUCUUGCACAAUGGGGGAAACCCUGAUGCAGCGACGCCGCGUGAGUGAUGAAGCCCUUCGGGGUGUAAAGCUCUUUCGGCAGGGACGAUAAUGACGGUACCUGAAGAAGAAGCUGCGGCUAACUACGUGCCAGCAGCCGCGGUAAUACGUAGGCAGCGAGCGUUGUUCGGAGUUACUGGGCGUAAAGAGUGCGUAGGCGGUUUUCUAAGUUUGGUGUGAAAUCUCCCGGCUCAACUGGGAGGGUGCGCCGAAGACUGGGAGGCUAGAGUAUGGGAGAGGUAAGCGGAAUUCCUGGUGUAGCGGUGAAAUGCGUAGAUAUCGGAGGAACACCUGCGGUGUAGACGGCUUACUGGACCAUCACUGACGCUGAGGCACGAAAGCGUGGGUAGCAAACAGGAUUAGAUACCCUAGUAGUCC